AUGACAUGAUUUUGCACUCAAUCAACAGAUCUAUUUUAAGGAUGUCUCCUGUUCUAAACCAGAACUUAAGCUGCAAAGCUCAGUAGGUUCGCCAAUUAUUGAUCCCCAUCUCUCUCCAGAUGGAAGUAUGCUCGCUUACGUAAGAGAUGAUGAGCUGCAUGUUUUGAAUUUGUCAUAUGGCGAGCCUAAACAGUUAACAUUUGGUGCUAGAGGAAAUGCAAAGGUGAGGUUUGGUUCUUCCUUUCAUAUGUUCUCUAGUAUUUUCUUUUGACACCAGAUUAUGUUUGUUUCAAAUGUUGGGCUUGCUAUCUAAAAGAUAUAAGGCUACCGUUUUCCAUUUAUGACCUGUAAAAGAAUGCCUACGGUUAAAGUAGCGAGGAAUGACAUCUAUGGUUAUGAAAUAUGAAUCCAAAAUGCUCAACUUCACUAGAAGCCAGCUUACAUUUUCCCCUGGUAGUAUAAGCAUUCACCUCUAUUUUUUAUUGUCCUGAGGUAAUCACAUAUUCCCACUUAGCUGGGAUAAGGCUUUGAUGAUGAGGAUAUGGGUGAGAUAAUUACAUGUGACCACUAGUCCAGAUUUUGUGGAAAGGAAAAGGUCAAUGGUAGAUGAAGAGAUUAAAGGAGAGUGGAAUUAUUUUGUAUUAAAGGAAAAGCACCUUUUUUUCAGAUUCAAAUUCACAUUACUAGGGUAAUUGGAAAAACAAACAGGCCCUUAGUUUAUUUUUGCAGUUGGAGAGCAUAUCCCAGUGAUAUAUAUCUGUUUUUCUUCUUUUGAUUUGGUAAUUCUUCACAAAGCACUGAGUUCACGAUCCAUGUGUUUUAGGUAAUUAAUUUGUAUUGAUGGAUCCAAUUAAGCAUCUCAUUGUUUUCAGGUUAUUGAGCUUCCAAUCAAGCACCCUGAAUUGUUUGAGAGUUUUGGAAUAGCUCAGCCAAAGUUCCUCAGGCAGAAGAGUGCAUUCUCCGAGUGGUGGAGAGGGCCAAUGUGCUAGUAAUUUAUCUGUCUACAGAUGCAGCUGAAAGUGAAACUGAUCUUCUACAGGCACUAACCAUGCAGAAUAGCAAGACCAUACCUCUAGUGAAAAGGCCAGGUCACAGCUCCUCGAAAUGGGAUCCAUUGUUGUAAAAAGGAGAGCUUAUUUUUACUCAUUUCUUUCUGUGAACUAAAGAGUAGAUAAAAAGAAACAAAUUAAACAAACCCAAACAAGAUUUAUAAUGAUCAAUUACUCAUAAGCAUAUAAUCAACUCAAUGCAGACUUGGGUCAGGCAGUCACUAGGUUUCUGUAGAACCUGGUGACAAAGGAGUGCUUGAAGAACUCAUUCCUGACCCAACUGAACUCUGAGUCAGAAUGUCUUGAGUCUGUGACAAGAUCCAACAUUUAUUUAUUUAUUAUCUGUGGACUCACAAAUUAGCCAUUUAGGUUUUCCCAGAACAUAAUGUGUGGAAUUUCAAAAACCUUCUCAUAACUACAUUUUUAUAUGGGUGAUUUUUGUUGGGAAGUAUCCUUGCACCUACCUGGGUUUAAGCUAUAUGUAUGCCUUUUUGUCCCUGAGGUUGAAGCCAUGCUGCAUAAGACGUUCUGUGCCAUGUUGAAUGUGUUCAUUGGGUCAUCGGGCUCGACAUUCAUUGAGGACAUAUUCCGGCUCCGGAAGGACUGGGGAUUAGCUUUGGUUUGUGAUGAGUAUAUGUGCCAAGGCGAGCAACCUAAUUUCAUAGCUGACGCGAAAUGAAGAAGAGUGGUGGUCAUGCUUUUGGUGUGCUUUCAUUCUUUUCACAUCAUCAAUGGCUAUGAUACACAACUCACCAAAUAUCGAUAGAAGAAACCAGUCUCUUAUAAACAAUGGCAAUCAUUGGCAACAAGGAGAUCAUUGACAUUAACCAAGGUAUGUUAGCUGCUUAGAUUGGUGU